UACGAAGGGGGGCUAGCGUUGCUCGGAAUCACUGGGCGUAAAGGGUGCGUAGGCGGGUUUUUAAGUCAGGGGUGAAAGUCAAAGGCUCAACCUUUGAAAGCCGGUGGAUACUGGAUGGCUAGAGUACGGAAGAGGCGAGUGGAAUUCCUGGUGUAGCGGUGGAAUGCGCAGAUAGUCAGGAGGAACACCGGUGGCGAAGGCGGGUCUCUGGGCCGAUACUGACGCUGAGGAGCGAAAGCGUGGGGAGCGAACAGG
rnacentral:rRNA from 1 species